rnacentral:rRNA from 1 species
UCCGCGUAGAGUUUGCUCAUGGCUCAGAUGGAACGCUGGUCGCCAGGCCUAACACAUGCAAGUCGAGCGGAGGAAGGGAGCUUGCUCCUGGAUUCAGCGGCGGACGGGUGAGUAAUGCCUACGAAUCUGCCUGGUAGUGGGGGAUAACGUCCGGAAACGGGCGCUAAUACCGCAUACGUCCUGAGGGAGAAAGUGGGGGAUCUUCGGACCUCACGCUAUCAGAUGAGCCUAGGUCGGAUUAGCUAGUUGGUGGGGUAAAGGCCUACCAAGGCGACGAUCCGUAACUGGUCUGAGAGGAUGAUCAGUCACACUGGAACUGAGACACGGUCCAGACUCCUACGGGAGGCAGCAGUGGGGAAUAUUGGACAAUGGGCGAAAGCCUGAUCCAGCCAUGCCGCGUGUGUGAAGAAGGUCUUCGGAUUGUAAAGCACUUUAAGUUGGGAGGAAGGGCAGUAAGUUAAUACCUUGCUGUUUUGACGUUAUCAACAGAAUAAGCACCGGCUAACUUCGUGCCAGCAGCCGCGGUAAUACGAAGGGUGCAAGCGUUAAUCGGAAUUACUGGGCGUAAAGCGCGCGUAGGUGGUUCAGCAAGUUGGAUGUGAAAUCCCCGGGCUCAACCUGGGAACUGCAUCCAAAACUACUGAGCUAGAGUACGGUAGAGGGUGGUGGAAUUUCCUGUGUAGCGGUGAAAUGCGUAGAUAUAGGAAGGAACACCAGUGGCGAAGGCGACCACCUGGACUGAUACUGACACUGAGGUGCGAAAGCGUGGGGAGCAAACAGGAUUAGAUACCCUGGUAGUCCACGCCGUAAACGAUGUCGACUAGCCGUUGGGAUCCUUGAGAUCUUAGUGGCGCAGCUAACGCG